UACGUAGGGCGCAAGCGUUAUCCGGAAUUAUUGGGCGUAAAGAGCUCGUAGGCGGUUUGUCGCGUCUGCCGUGAAAGUCCGGGGCUCAACUCCGGAUCUGCGGUGGGUACGGGCAGACUAGAGUGAUGUAGGGGAGACUGGAAUUCCUGGUGUAGCGGUGGAAUGCGCAGAUAUCAGGAGGAACACCAAUGGCGAAGGCAGAUCUCUGGGCCGUAACUGACGCUGAGGAGCGAAAGCGUGGGGAGCGAACAGG
rnacentral:rRNA from 1 species